ACCCAGACUCCUACGGGAGGCAGCAGUGGGGAAUAUUGCACAAUGGGGGAAACCCUGAUGCAGCGACGCCGCGUGAGUGAAGAAGUACUUCGUUAUGUAAAGCUCUAUCAGCAGGGAAGAAAAUGACGGUACCUGAGUAAGAAGCCCCGGCUAACUACGUGCCAGCAGCCGCGGUAAUACGUAGGGGGCAAGCGUUAUCCGGAUUUACUGGGUGUAAAGGGAGCGUAGACGGCAGUGCAAGUCUGGAGUGAAAGGCGGGGGCUCAACCCCCGGACUGCUCUGGAAACUGUACGGCUGGAGUGCAGGAGAGGUUAAUGGAAUUCCUAGUGUAGCGGUGGAAUGCGUAGAUAUUAGGAGGAACACCAGAGGCGAAGGCGAUUAACUGGACCGUAACUGACGCUGAGGCACGAAAGUGUGGGUAGCAAACAGGAUUAGAUACCCGUGUA
rnacentral:rRNA from 1 species